CCAUCCGCGUGCAGGACGAAGGCCUUCGGGUUGUAAACUGCUUUUGUACGGAACGAAAAAGCUUCGGUUAAUACCCGGAGUCCAUGACGGUACCGUAAGAAUAAGCACCGGCUAACUACGUGCCAGCAGCCGCGGUAAUACGUAGGGUGCAAGCGUUAAUCGGAAUUACUGGGCGUAAAGCGUGCGCAGGCGGUUAUAUAAGACAGAUGUGAAAUCCCCGGGCUCAACCUGGGAACUGCAUUUGUGACUGUAUAGCUGGAGUGCGGCAGAGGGGGAUGGAAUUCCGCGUGUAGCAGUGAAAUGCGUAGAUAUGCGGAGGAACACCGAUGGCGAAGGCAAUCCCCUGGGCCUGCACUGACGCUCAUGCACGAAAGCGUGGGGAGCAAACAGGAUUAGAUACCCUGGUAGUCCACGCCCUAAACGAUGUCAACUGGUUGUAGGGUCUUCACUGACUCAGUAACGAAGCUAACGCGUGAAGUUGACCGNCUGGGGAGUUCGGACGCAAGGUUGAAACUCAAAGGAAUC
rnacentral:rRNA from 1 species